rnacentral:rRNA from 1 species
UACGUAGGGUGCGAGCGUUAAUCGGAAUUACUGGGCGUAAAGCGUGCGCAGGCGGUUCGUUAAGUUCGUUGUGAAAGCCCCGGGCUCAACCUGGGAAUGGCAAUGGAAACUGGCGGGCUGGAGUGCGGCAGAGGGGGGUGGAAUUCCGCGUGUAGCAGUGAAAUGCGUAGAGAUGCGGAGGAACACCGAUGGCGAAGGCAGCCCCCUGGGCCGACACUGACGCUCAGGCACGAAAGCGUGGGGAGCAAACAGG